UACGUAGGGUGCGAGCGUUGUCCGGAAUUAUUGGGCGUAAAGGGCUCGUAGGCGGUUUGUCGCGUCGGGAGUGAAAACACCGGGCUUAACUCGGUGCUUGCUUUCGAUACGGGCAGACUAGAGGUAUGCAGGGGAGAACGGAAUUCCUGGUGUAGCGGUGAAAUGCGCAGAUAUCAGGAGGAACACCGGUGGCGAAGGCGGUUCUCUGGGCAUUACCUGACGCUGAGGAGCGAAAGUGUGGGGAGCGAACGGG
rnacentral:rRNA from 1 species